UACAGAGGGUGCAAGCGUUGUUCGGAAUUAUUGGGCGUAAAGAGCGUGUAGGCGGUUCGGUAAGUCUGUCGUGAAAUCCUGAGGCUCAACCUCGGACGUGCGAUGGAUACUGCCGGGCUAGAGGAUGGUAGAGGCGAGUGGAAUUCCCGGUGUAGCGGUGAAAUGCGCAGAUAUCGGGAGGAACACCUAUGGCGAAGGCAGCUCUCUGGGACGGUACUGACGCUGAGACGCGAAAGCGUGGGGAGCGAACAGG
rnacentral:rRNA from 1 species